rnacentral:rRNA from 1 species
UACGUAGGGUGCAGGCGUUAAUCGGAAUUACUGGGCGUAAAGCGUGCGCAGGCGGUCUUUUAAGUCAGAUGUGAAAUCCCCGGGCUUAACCUGGGAACUGCGUUUGAAACUGGAAGGCUAGAGUGUGGCAGAGGGGGGUGGAAUUCCACGUGUAGCAGUGAAAUGCGUAGAUAUGUGGAGGAACACCGAUGGCGAAGGCAGCCCCCUGGGGUAACACUGACGCUCAUGCACGAAAGCGUGGGGAGCAAACAGG